rnacentral:rRNA from 1 species
GACGAACGCUGGCGGCGUGCUUAACACAUGCAAGUCGAACGGAAAGGCCCUGCUUUUGUGGGGUGCUCGAGUGGCGAACGGGUGAGUAACACGUGAGUAACCUGCCCUUGACUUUGGGAUAACUUCAGGAAACUGGGGCUAAUACCGGAUAGGAGCUCCUGCUGCAUGGUGGGGGUUGGAAAGUUUCGGCGGUUGGGGAUGGACUCGCGGCUUAUCAGCUUGUUGGUGGGGUAGUGGCUUACCAAGGCUUUGACGGGUAGCCGGCCUGAGAGGGUGACCGGCCACAUUGGGACUGAGAUACGGCCCAGACUCCUACGGGAAGCAGCAGUGGGGAAUAUUGCACAAUGGGCGGCAGCCUGAUGCAGCAACGCCGCGUGCGGGAUGACGGCCUUCGGGUUGUAACCCGCUUUCGCCUGUGACGAAGCGUGAGUGACGGUAAUGGGUCAAGAAGCACCGGCUAACUACGUG